rnacentral:rRNA from 1 species
AGUGAACGCUGGCGGUAGGCCUAACACAUGCAAGUCGAACGGCAGCACAGGAGAGCUUGCUCUCUGGGUGGCGAGUGGCGGACGGGUGAGGAAUACAUCGGAAUCUACUUUUUCGUGGGGGAUAACGUAGGGAAACUUACGCUAAUACCGCAUACGACCUACGGGUGAAAGCAGGGGACCUUCGGGCCUUGCGCGAUUGCAUUGCCCGAGGUCGGAUUAGCUAGUUGGCGGGGUAAAGGCCCACCAAGGCGACGAUCCGUAGCUGGUCUGAGAGGAUGAUCAGCCACACUGGAACUGAGACACGGUCCAGACUCCUACGGGAGGCAGCAGUGGGGAAUAUUGGACAAUGGGCGCAAGCCUGAUCCAGCCAUACCGCGUGGGUGAAGAAGGCCUUCGGGUUGUAAAGCCCUUUUGUUGGGAAAGAAAUCCAGCUGGCUAAUACCCGGUUGGGAUGACGGUACCCAAAGAAUAAGCACCGGCUAACUUCGUGCCAGCCGCCGCAGUAA